AUGCCUGGCUUCGCCCGCCCCAGCCCUCUGCAGCGUGGAUCCGGCCCGACCUGGAGGCUGCUGGCCGCAGCUGAGAGCCCGCUUUCCCCAUUGCACCCUGCCUGCCCCUUCCCCAACCCUUGCAGGGGCCACCAGAGAGGCAGGCACACAGUGUGGGUGGGGGAACUUCCUGGUUCUGAGGGAAUGUGAGAAGAUUGCCCUUUGGGCUGGGUGAGGAGAGGAGCCCUGGACCCCCUGGACUUCCUCCUCAAGAGGAAGCCGCUUUGGCUUUGGGGCUAAGAGGCUGGAGCAUCCAAGCCCCAGAACAUGCAUGGCUUCGGAGAAGCAUGGCGACGGUUCUGCUGGGUGAGAGGAUCCAGGCUGACUGGAGGACAGCUGUAUGUCAGCCUGGGAGUCACAGCCUUAUGGGGACUUCCAGCCUGCUGUGGGCACCCGGUACCUGGUCUCAGCUUCAUCUGGGAGGUGUCAGGUGCCACCCAUCCAGGACCCCUGGCCUCUCCCCCGAGCCCACAGCAGGAGGUGAUGCCCCAGCCAGUCUUAAAGGUGGGCACAGGUUGGCGGCCAACAAAGCUGAUGGCCUUUGGCAGCUGCCAUUUUACCUCGAGCGUGCAGGUUUUAGGGAAGCAGGAAUGUGUGCUCCCUGAGGCCUUCUGCUCUUACCCCUAUGAUUCUCCGGGGACCUGUCUCACCAAAGCCAACAAGAUCUUGCCUGGGGCAGAACUGGAGCUGAGGCGGGACUGGAUAAUCUGGGUUCCCUGGGGCUCUGGGGUAGGGAGUGGGCCUGGCCUGACAGGCGCCCGUAUCUCUGUGAAGCCACCUGUGGCACACAUUCCUGAUGGGGCUGUGAACAUACCAUCAAGGCAGCUGUACAGCUGCCAUGACCAUGCUUGGGAGAGGGAGGCCUCGGGCAGCCGCGGAGGCACUGGAGUGGAGGUCAUCCACCAGAAAGCACAUGUGGCCGAGAAGGGGGCUUCCUGGGUCUACCCCGGCCCUGCUGCCCACGGGCCAGUGCGUUCGCCUGUGUCACCUCAGUUGCAAUGCCGAGGGCAGAGGGUGGUUCUCCUGGGGUCCGGAGCCUCCAUCUGGCCAGCAGAGGGCGCAGAAGGACUGCGUGGGCGGCUGGGACGUGACAGCCUGGAAGUGGUGAACAGCCAGCGUUCCUGAAAACCUUCCCGGCCAAAGCGGGUCCGAGGCCCACUUGUGUGCGAGAGAGCUGGGAAAUGUCUUUCCGUGUGCUCUGAGGAGAGUGCAAAGGCUAGUGGAUGUCCUGCCUUUCCUCUGCUGCUCUCUCGGCUGGGGGCAAGAAUGACAGGACGUGAACAUACACACGAGGGCCCGGAACUCACGAGCCCCCCACAGAGGCCCCCCCAUUUGCAGGAGCUGGGGCACUAGCACAGCACAGCCCACGCCUUUUGACCAGCACCCCUCCCCAGUUCUGCUCUCUGCAGCAACACAGAGUACAAAUAUUGUUCCUUUGGUUUCUUUUUUCCCUUUGGAGACAUUUUAAAUGACAAAAAUAGAGCUUGAUUGUUGCACCCAGACAGAUGUUUGCUUCCGGGCCCUUUGGGUUGGAGGACUGGGCCCCCUCGCAGAGCCUGGAACUCCCAGCCCCCAGCUCCUGGGGUGCCUUCCUCCAGGUGUGUCCCUGGCUUGGGCUGGCGGGCGCAGUCCCCACUCCUGGGAUGUGCAGUUUUAAUAAGCUACUGGGUACCACCCUUGAUUGAAUUCAGAGUGACAGACUUAGAGCAGGUCACCUCUCGACUUCUAAUGAGGCCAAGACGGGAGGAGUCCCCACAGCCCCGAGUUUGACUCUGUAAUUAAGCUGGUAAAGUGGAAAAAUAAAAGUAGGGAACCUAAGUGGAGAGCAAACCAGAAAGCCAGGCAGCCGGAGCUUCCGAGCCCGCUUUCUCCCAGCUGUGCGGCCUCGGGGCCCACGACGUCUCUGCUACUUUUGCUGCUUUUCUAUAACACAGGGUGAGGCAGCUACACCCUCCGAGGGGUGUCACUAGGGCCAAUGGGUCCGGAUGUUUGGAGUGUGGGUGUCUGAGGGCCACUAGGUCACUACCCACUCUGGCCCUUUGCUCCUAGUCUCUGGGGAGGCGGUGGCACAGGGGCAGGGGUGACUAGACCCUGCCUCUUUCUGCUCCCAGACCAGUUGAUAUGAGUCCUGCUUGAGGGGUUCGCAGGGCCUCUGGAGCCUUCUUCAGCUUCUCUUUGUUUUCCUAAGAUAAAAAUUGUCACAUCUGUGCUUGUUGUGGGAAACUUGAAAAAUAGUGCACAGAGAAGAAUAUGAAAUCGACAUAAA